GCCUUUAUAGCUCAGUUGGUUAGAGCGUCUGCCUAGUAAGCAGGAGGUCACCAGUUUCAACUCUGGUUAAAGGCA